rnacentral:rRNA from 1 species
GACGAACGCUGGCGGCGUGCUUAACACAUGCAAGUCGAACGGAAAGGCCUCAGCUUGCUGGGGGACUCGAGUGGCGAACGGGUGAGUAACACGUCGGUUAUCUGCCUUGCCCCCUGGGUUAAGCUUGGGAAACUGGGUCUAAUACCGGAUAUGAACUGCCUUUUGUGUGGCGGUUGGAAAGUUUUUUCGGUGCUGUUUGGGCUCGCGGCCUAGCAGCUUGUUGGCGGGGUGAUGGCGUACCAAGGCGUCGACGGGUAGCCGGCCUGAGAGGGUGUAGGGCCACAUUGGGACUGAGAUACGGACCAGGCACCUACGGGAGGCGGCAGUGGGGAAUAUUGCACAAUGGGCGGAAGCCUGAUGCAGCUACGCCGCUUGGGGGUUGACGGCCUUCGGGUUGUAAACGCCUUUCGACAGGGACGGAGCUUUUUGUGACGGUACCUGGAUAAGAAGCACCGGCUAACUACGUG